UACAGAGGUCUCAAGCGUUGUUCGGAUUCAUUGGGCGUAAAGGGUGCGUAGGUGGCGCUGUAAGUCAGGUGUGAAAUUUCGGAGCUCAACUCCGAAACUGCAUUUGAUACUGCGGUGCUUGAGGACUGGAGAGGAGAUUGGAAUUCACGGUGUAGCAGUGAAAUGCGUAGAUAUCGUGAGGAAGACCAGUGGCGAAGGCGGGUCUCUGGACAGUUCCUGACGCUGAGGCACGAAGGUCAGGGGAGCAAACGGG
rnacentral:rRNA from 1 species